AACGAACGCUGGCGGCAGGCUUAACACAUGCAAGUCGAACGCGUGCAGCAAUGCACGAGUGGCGCACGGGUGAGUAACGAGUGGAUAUCUUCCUUUUGGUUCGGAACAACCCCGGGAAACUGGGGCUAAUACCGGAUGGUUCCUACGGGAUAAAGAUCUAUCGCCAAAAGAUGAGUCCGCGUCCGAUUAGCUAGUUGGUGAGGUAAUGGCUCACCCAGGCGACGAUCGGUAGCUGGUCUGAGAGGACGAUCAGCCACACUGGGACUGAGACACGGCCCAGACUCCUACGGGAGGCAGCAGUGGGGAAUAUUGGACAAUGAGGGCAACCCUGAUCCAGCCAUGCCGCGUGAGUGAUGAAGGCCUUAGGGUUGUAAAGCUCUUUUGGCGGGGACGAUGAUGACGGUACCCGCAGAAUAAGCCCCGGCUAACUUCGUG
rnacentral:rRNA from 1 species